rnacentral:misc_RNA from 1 species
CCAGGAAUGCCUACUUCGUACUUCCCCACAAAACACAACCAGCAUUCUGGUUUAUCUCAACUAGACAAUCUUCAAGAUGCGACAGAUGGGAGGGAGAAUGGCCAAAAGACGCAAAGUCAAGCUGGCUACUUGCCCUCGGUUCAAGUAUACAAAUAAAUUUCAAUGUUAAUUUAAAUGGAAUUCAUUACGGGAAAAUAUCCGGCAAACCGAACCGAGCACUCCAUUAUAAAUCAAGUUAAAAUUUUCGUAAAUUCAUCGCCACUUUAGUUAACCCCUAAUGACUUCUAUGCUGGAAUUGUUUUGGGCAAUCAAGUCAGGCCUGGCCCAGGGUCCUCUGACCAACCCCCGAGUGUUAAAUUAGACCCCGGCAUAGGGGAGGAUUUCGAAAAGAACGAAGGGACCGCGAGGACGAGGCAAAAGGUGCAAAAUGCACAAAUGAGUAUAAAUAUUUUCACAAUUAACGAAAAAUUAAAUGCGACAAAGAUGGCAUGGCCAUGGUAAAAAGCGGCAGCCGCAGUGAUCUAGCAAAAUCUACACUGAAAAAAAUAUACUGAGCCUACUGAGAGAUAUUUUUUAUUUAGCUAAUGGACAAAUCUAAAUUGAAUUUCGGUUUAUU